AUGGCCACAUGACGUCGAAACACUAGUUCCCGUACGAUCACCGAAGUAAAGCAACGUUGUCACUGGUUAAUAUCUAGAUGAGUGACUGCUUGGGAAUACCAGGGGUUGUA